GAAAGGCUGCGGAAGUUAUCUGACCCGCGGCUGGGUGUGAAUACCGACACACCUCAAUUAGG
rnacentral:ncRNA from 1 species